rnacentral:rRNA from 1 species
AUGAACGCUAGCGACAGGCUUAACACAUGCAAGUCGAGGGGCAGCACAGGUAGCAAUACCGGGUGGCGACCGGCGCACGGGUGAGUAACGCGUAUGCAACUUGCCUAUCAGAGGGGGAUAACCCGGCGAAAGUCGGACUAAUACCGCAUGAAGCAGGGGCCCCGCAUGGGGAUAUUUGCUAAAGAUUCAUCGCUGAUAGAUAGGCAUGCGUUCCAUUAGGCAGUUGGCGGGGUAACGGCCCACCAAACCGACGAUGGAUAGGGGUUCUGAGAGGAAGGUCCCCCACAUUGGUACUGAGACACGGACCAAACUCCUACGGGAGGCAGCAGUGAGGAAUAUUGGUCAAUGGGCGUAAGCCUGAACCAGCCAAGUCGCGUGAGGGAUGAAGGUUCUAUGGAUCGUAAACCUCUUUUAUAAGGGAAUAAAGUGCGGGACGUGUCCCGUUUUGUAUGUACCUUAUGAAUAAGGAUCGGCUAACUCCGUGCCAGCAGCCGCGGUAAUACGGAGGAUCCGAGCGUUAUCCGGAUUUAUUGGGUUUAAAGGGUGCGUAGGCGGCCUUUUAAGUCAGCGGUGAAAGUCUGUGGCUCAACCAUAGAAUUGCCGUUGAAACUGGGGGGCUUGAGUAUGUUUGAGGCAGGCGGAAUGCGUGGAGUAGCGGGGAAAUGCUUAGAUAUCACGCAGAACCCCGAUUGCGAAGGCAGCCUGCCAAGCCAUGACUGACGCUGAUGCACGAAAGCGUGGGGAUCAAACAGGAUUAGAUACCCUGGUAGUCCACGCAGUAAACGAUGAUCACUAGCUGUUUGCGAUACAGUGUAAGCGGCACAGCGAAAGCGUUAAGUGAUCCACCUGGGGAGUACGCCGGCAACGGUGAAACUCAAAGGAAUUGACGGGGGCCCGCACAAGCGGAGGAACAUGUGGUUUAAUUCGAUGAUACGCGAGGAACCUUACCCGGGUUUGAACGCAUUCGGACCGAGGUGGAAACACCUUUUCUAGCAAUAGCCGUUUGCGAGGUGCUGCAUGGUUGUCGUCAGCUCGUGCCGUGAGGUGUCGGCUUAAGUGCCAUAACGAGCGCAACCCUUGCCACUAGUUACUAACAGGUUAGGCUGAGGACUCUGGUGGGACUGCCAGCGUAAGCUGCGAGGAAGGCGGGGAUGACGUCAAAUCAGCACGGCCCUUACAUCCGGGGCGACACACGUGUUACAAUGGCGUGGACAAAGGGAAGCCACCUGGCGACAGGGAGCGAAUCCCCAAACCACGUCUCAGUUCGGAUCGGAGUCUGCAACCCGACUCCGUGAAGCUGGAUUCGCUAGUAAUCGCGCAUCAGCCAUGGCGCGGUGAAUACGUUCCCGGGCCUUGUACACACCGCCCGUCAAGCCAUGGGAGCCGGGGGUACCUGAAGUCCGUAACCGCGAGGAUCGGCCUAGGGUAAAACUGGUGACUGGGGCU